AAUUAUUGCAGUUUCAUCGGGACGUUCUACCUCAUUCCCCGUACUCCCCAGACAUUGUUCCAUCCGAUUAUUACUCGUUCUUCUCGUUGAAAAAUUCUCCCCGUGAAAAACGGUUUAAAUUCGUCAGCGAAACGAAAACGCACCUUGAUCAAUAUUUUGCAAAGAAGCCUCGAAAAGACAGUAUAACGAGGCCUCCUGAAAGAUGGAAGAGGGUAAUAUCGCAGAACGGUUCGUAUAUAACUCGAUAAAUCAGUCUUAAGCAACAAAUAUCGUGUAAGCGUUUCGCAUCAGAAAACAGGAAAGAACUUGUGGGACACCCUAAUACUAUUUCGUCGGAAAAUCAGCCGGGCCACCGAGCGGUAAAGUGCUUCCGGCUGUCCGGGAACCGUAAUCCAUCAAUGAACCAAGGCUAUAAAACCAGGUACCCGGGCAGCGUAGACAAUUCUCAGCGCUUAGGCACUAUCUCGGAUAAUUUGGCAACACAGGAAACGGAACAGAGAUGCGGGUAUAAAGCCUGCGGAGGCCUGCGGGCCCCCUAGACACGGCCCUGCCGACCACGGUCUCUUUCCUGCGGUUGCAAAGAAGCUAUCUAUACCCCGCGCAGAAGUAAAAAAUAUUGAAUGGUACUGGUUCGUUCUAGCCUUCGAUUCCGAGGGAAUCGGCUCCCGGAGACUCGUUUCGCCAGGCUCGUCCGAAGCUAAAGCCGCCGAUAUAGCUUGAGUCACUCUAUCCCGCCGACUGUUCUACAGUUCAAAUAAACCGAGCUUAUAGUAAUCCAGUGUGUCCAACGAUGCUUGGAUACGAAGCUGGCGAACGGUAAACGAUCUACGCUAUUGCUUCAGCGUGGACUAUUUGUUUGGAUUGGUCGGGCUCGCGUGUGCGAGAACUCGGGGCCCGAUGAUUUUUCGACCGACCGCUGUUGCCGGUCGGCGGACAGAUUUUUUCGGUCGUCCGAUCCGAAGACGUCGCUUCGUUGGCAACACGAUCGCAGGAACAUCCUGUGCUCGUUUCAGUGGCAGCACGAAACACCGAGGCGCUGCUGGCUUGCACGAGGCUGCAGAAGUGGCGGAUGUAGAAUGGGCCGUGGUAGAGGGGCUGAGUAUAUCGACCUUUGCGGCUCGCAGGGAACGCGCGGAAACCGUUUAAUAAUACGAAAUUUCUGAUCGCGAAGUUCGCGCGAUUGUUAAAGCCCUGUCUCUACGCCGCGCGCAAUCAGGAAAUGGAACAGCGUGGGGGGCGGGGACCGACCGUGGGAAUUCUGGGGGAUAGGCGUGAUUUAUCGGAAUGCGGGAACGACUCCUCCGGAAUCCCGAGGAUCCAGCGAGCGUUUCCAGAUAUCUUGCUCGCAGAGCGUUUCCCGUCUCGCGGGUGGUCCCGCGAAAACUACGACGUUACUUACGAUGCUAAUCGAAUAUUAAUCUCACCUUUGACCCGGGACGCGACCUGGGCUUUUACCGGCGGUGCUCGGAGCCGGCCGAUUUCGCGGACUUCGUUUUACAGUUUCCCCGGUCCCCUUGAUUACGACAAUCGAAUCACUCGUGGAAUUAAGAAUUACGAAGCAAUUCGAUUACGUUUUAAUCCAAUCUCGUCGUGAUUCGAUCGAGCAAGUAACUCGGAAUUCGGGUCUACGUUCGAUUAAGUUGCUAAUGUGACUCGUAAAUUGCGACUGGAGCACAAUUUGCGAAAUAUUAAUUAAUUGAAUUGUUGCGAUGAGGGGCAAUACUGAGACAGAUGCUUUUACAAUGGAGUAACUUUUUUAAGACUGGUCCGGAUGACUUGAAUCUAUAUAAAUAAAUAUAUAAUAA